UACGAGUGGGGCAAACGUUGUUCGGAAUCACUGGGCAUAAAGGGCGUGUAGGCGGUCUGGAAAGUUAUGGUUGAAAUCCUGCGGCUCAACCGCAGAACAGGCUGUAAAACUACCAGACUUGAGGAUGGCAGGGGGGUGUGGAACGAUCGGUGGAGCGGUGAAAUGCGUAGAUAUCGGUCGGAACACCGGUGGCGAAGGCGACACCCUGGGCCAUUCCUGACGCUGAGGCGCGAAAGCGUGGGGAGCAAACAGG
rnacentral:rRNA from 1 species